rnacentral:rRNA from 1 species
UUGCGGUUAAAAAGCUCGUAGUUGGAUUUCUGUCGAGGGCGGGCGGUCCGCACUAUGUGCGUGUAUGCUUGUUCGGUCUUGGCAUCCUCUUGGGGAAUGCUUCUGUGCUUGAUUGCAUGGGGUGGAAUUCAAGACUUUUACUUUGAGGAAAUUAGAGUGUUCACGGCAAGCUACCGCUUUGAUUACAUUAGCAUGGAAUAAUAAUAUAGGGCGUAAGUUCUAUUUUGUUGAUUUCUAGGACAUACGCAAUGAUUAAUAGGGACAAUUGGGGGCAUUCGUAUUAACGCGUCAGAGGUGGAAUUCUUAGAUUGCGUUACGACGAACUACUGCGAAAGCAUUUGCCAAAGAUGUUUUCAUUGAUCAAGAACGAAAGUAUGGGGAUCGAAGACGAUUAGAUACCGUCGUAGUCUAUACCAUAAACUAUGCCAAUUAGAGAUUGGGCGUCGUUCGUUUUAUGACUCGCUCAGCACCUUAUGAGAAAUCAAAAUUUUUGGGUUCCGGGGGGAGUAUGGUCGCAAGGCUGAAACUUAAAGGAAUUGACAGAAGGGCACCACCAGGAGUGGAGCCUGCGGCUUAAUUUGACUCAACACGGGAAAACUUACCAGGUCCAGACAUAGUAAGGAUUGACAGAUUGAUAGCUCU